rnacentral:misc_RNA from 1 species
CACGAACUCGCCGGAAUCAUGCCGAAGCAGAUCCGUGAGAUCAAGGAUUUCCUUCUCACAGCUCGGAGGAAAGACGCCCGCUCUAUAAAGAUCAAGAGGAGCAAGGAUGUCGUCAAGUUCAAGGUCCGGUGCUCCAGGUACCUCUACACGCUCUGCGUGAAUGAUCCGGAGAAGGCGGACAAGUUGAAGCAGUCACUUCCGCCAGGUUUAAGUGUUCAGGAGGUUUAAGGUAUCACUCUCAGUCUGCAGUUUGGGGGAAGCUGGCCCUCAUCUCAACCUAAUCUUAGUAGUUCUUAGCACUAUGGGAACCUUUUCUUUUCAG